ACUCAAAUGAAUUGACGGGGGCCCGCACAAGCAGCGGAGCGUGUGGUUUAAUUCGACGCAACGCGCAGAACCUUACCAGGGCUUGACAUGCCCCUGCACCGCUUUGAAAGAGGCGUCCCCGCAAGGGGCGGGGGCACAGAUGCUGCAUGGCUGUCGUCAGCUCGUGCCGUGAGGUGUUGGGUUAAGUCCCGCAACGAGCGCAACCCGCGCGGCCAGUUACACUCUCUGGCCGGACUGCCGCGACUAACGCGGAGGAAGGUGCGGAUGAUGUCAAGUCAGCACGGCUCUUACGUCCUGGGCUACACACACGCUACAAUGGACGGUACAACGGGUCGCGAAGCCGCGAGGCGGAGCCAAUCCCAGCAAAGCCGUCCCCAGUUCAGAUCGCAGUCUGCAACCCGACUGCGUGAAGGCGGAGUUGCUAGUAACCGCAGGUCAGCACACUGCGGUGAAUACGUUCCCGGGCCUUGCACACACCGCCCGU
rnacentral:rRNA from 1 species